rnacentral:rRNA from 1 species
CCUACGGGUGGCAGCAGUAAGGAAUAUUGGUCAAUGGACGAGAGUCUGACCCAGCAAAGUAGCGUGAAGGAUGACUGCCCUAUGGGUUGUAAACUUCUUUUAUAUGGGAAUAAAACGUUCCACGUGUGGGAUUUUGUAUGUACCAUAUGAAUAAGGAUCGGCUAACUCCGUGCCAGCAGCCGGGGUAAUACGGAGGCUCCGAGCGUUAUCCGGAUUUAUUGGGGUUAAAGGGAGCGUAGGUGGAUUGUUAAGUCAGUUGUGAAAGUUUGAGGCUCAACCGUAAAAUUGCAGUUGAAACUGGCAGUCUUGAGUACAGUAGAGGUGGGCGGAAUUCGUGGUGGAGCGGUGAAAUGCUUAGAUAUCACGAAGAACUCCGAUUGCGAAGGCAGUUCACUGGACUGCAACUGACACUGAGGAUCGAAAGUGAGGGUAUCAAAUAGGAUUAGAUACCCGAGUAGUC